UACGUAGGGUGCAAGCGUUAAUCGGAAUUACUGGGCGUAAAGCGUGCGCAGGCGGUUAUGCAAGACAGAUGUGAAAUCCCCGGGCUUAACCUGGGAACUGCAUUUGUGACUGGCGGGCUAGAGUAUGACAGAGGGGGGUAGAAUUCCACGUGUAGCAGUGAAAUGCGUAGAGAUGUGGAGGAAUACCGAUGGCGAAGGCAGCCCCCUGGGCCAAUACUGACGCUCAUGCACGAAAGCGUGGGGAGCAAACAGG
rnacentral:rRNA from 1 species